rnacentral:rRNA from 1 species
AUUGAACGCUGGCGGCAGGCCUAACACAUGCAAGUCGAGCGGAUGAGGGGUGCUUGCACUCUGAUUCAGCGGCGGACGGGUGAGUAAUGCCUAGGAAUCUGCCCGAUAGUGGGGGACAACGUUUCGAAAGGAACGCUAAUACCGCAUACGUCCUACGGGAGAAAGUGGGGGAUCUUCGGACCUCACGCUAUCGGAUGAGCCUAGGUCGGAGUAGCUAGUUGGUGAGGUAAUGGCUCACCAAGGCGACGAUCCGUAACUGGUCUGAGAGGAUGAUCAGUCACACGGGAACGGAGACACGGUCCAGACUCCUACGGGAGGCAGCAGUGGGGAAUAUUGGACAAUGGGCGAAAGCCUGAUCCAGCCAUGCCGCGUGUGUGAAGAGGGUCUUCGGGUUGUAAAGCACUUUAAGUUGGGAGGAAGGGCUGUAGGCUAAUAUCCUGCAGUUUUGACGUUACCAACAGAAUAAGCACCGGCUAACUUCGUGCCAGCCGCCGCGGUAACAC